rfam:Oryza glaberrima chromosome 6 Oglab06_0039_9, whole genome shotgun sequence.
UUUAAUCGUAACCAUAAGUUUUCAUGUCCAAAUUUGAUCAUUUAUUUUAUUUAAAAAAAAUUUGUAAUUAGUAUUUUUGUUGCUAUGAGAUAAUAAAACAUGAAUAGUACUUUACUCGUGACUUAUGCUUUUAAAUCUUUUUAAAUAAGAUUGACAGAUAAAGUUGGGCGUAGAAAACCAUGGCUGCACUUAAA